rnacentral:rRNA from 1 species
GGCGGCGUGCUUACACAUGCAAGUCGAACGAUGAACCACUUCGGUGGGGAUUAGUGGCGAACGGGUGAGUAACACGUGGGCAAUCUGCCCUUCACUCUGGGACAAGCCCUGGAAACGGGGUCUAAUACCGGAUACGACACUCUCGGGCAUCCGAUGAGUGUGGAAAGCUCCGGCGGUGAAGGAUGAGCCCGCGGCCUAUCAGCUUGUUGGUGAGGUAACGGCUCACCAAGGCGACGACGGGUAGCCGGCCUGAGAGGGCGACCGGCCACACUGGGACUGAGACACGGCCCAAACUCCUACGGGAGGCAGCAGUGGGGAAUAUUGCACAAUGGGCGAAAGCCUGAUGCAGCGACCCCCCGUGAGGGAUGACGGCCUUCGGGUUGUAAACCUCUUUCAGCAGGGAAGAAGCGAAAGUGACGGUACCUGCAGAAAGAAGCGCCGGGCUAACUACGUGCCAGCAGCCGCGGUAAUACGUAGGGCGCGAGCGUUGUCCGGAAAUUAUUGGGCGUAAAGAGCUCGUAGGCGGUCUGUCGCGUCGGAUGUGAAAGCCCGGGGCUUAACCCCGGGUCUGCAUUCGAUACGGGCAGACUAGAGUGUGGUAGGGGAGAUCGGAAUUCCUGGUGUAGCGGUGAAAUGCGCAGAUAUCAGGAGGAACACCGGUGGCGAAGGCGGAUCUCUGGGCCAUUACUGACGCUGAGGAGCGAAAGCGUGGGGAGCGAACAGGAUUAGAUACCCUGGUAGUCCACGCCGUAAACGGUGGGAACUAGGUGUUGGCGACAUUCCACGUCGUCGGUGCCGCAGCUAACGCAUUAAGUUCCCCGCCUGGGGAGUACGGCCGCAAGGCUAAAACUCAAAGGAUUUGACGGGGGCCCGCACAAGCAGCGGAGCAUGUGGCUUAAUUCGACGCAACGCGAAGAACUUUACCAAGGCUUGACAUACACCGGAAACGGCCAGAGAUGGUCGCCCCCUUGUGGUCGGUGUACAGGUGGUGCAUGGCUGUCGUCAGCUCGUGUCGUGAGAUGUUGGGUUAAGUCCCGCAACGAGCGCAACCCUUGUUCUGUGUUGCCAGCAUGCCCUUCGGGGUGAUGGGGACUCACAGGAGACUGCCGGGGUCAACUCGGAGGAAGGUGGGGACGACGUCAAGUCAUCAUGCCCCUUAUGUCUUGGGCUGCACACGUGCUACAAUGGCAGGUACAAUGAGCUGCGAAGCCGUGAGGCGGAGCGAAUCUCAAAAAGCCUGUCUCAGUUCGGAUUGGGGUCUGCAACUCGACCCCAUGAAGUCGGAGUUGCUAGUAAUCGCAGAUCAGCAUUGCUGCGGUGAAUACGUUCCCGGGCCUUGUACACACCGCCCGUCACGUCACGAAAGUCGGUAACACCCGAAGCCGGUGGCCCAACCCGUAAGGGAGGGAGCUGUCGAAGGUGGGACUGGCGAUUGGGACGAAGUCGUAAC